AGGGCUAAGAAAAAUGAAGCUGGAUCACCAA
rnacentral:piRNA from 2 species